rnacentral:rRNA from 1 species
GACGAACCGUACGAACGUUAUUCGGAAUCACUGGGCGUAAAGGGUGCGUAGGUGGCGCUGUAAGUCGGGUGUGAAAUCCUGAGGCUUAACCUCGGAACUGCAUUCGAUACUGCGGCGCUUGAGGACUGGAGAGGAGACUGGAAUUCAUGGUGUAGCAGUGAAAUGCGUAGAGAUCAUGAGGAAGACCAGUGGCGAAGGCGGGUCUCUGGACAGUUCCUGACACUGAGGCACGAAGGCCAGGGGAGCAAACGGG